UACGGAGGGUGCAAGCGUUAUCCGGAAUCAUUGGGGUUAAAGGGUCCGCAGGCGGAUUUAUAAGUCAGUGGUGAAAGCCCGUUGCUUAACAACGGAACUGCCAUUGAUACUGUAAGUCUUGAAUUCGAUCGAAGUGGGCGGAAUAUGACAUGUAGCGGUGAAAUGCUUAGAUAUGUCAUAGAACACCGAUAGCGAAGGCAGCUCACUAGGUCUGGAUUGACGCUCAGGGACGAAAGCGUGGGGAGCAAACAGG
rnacentral:rRNA from 1 species